ACCCGUGGCGCAGUGGCUAACGCUGCCGUUUUGAAAAUUUGGGUCCCGGGUUCAAUUCCACGCAGGGGUA